CCUACUGGCCAUCGCUAUCUUAUCUUAUUUUAUUUGUAAGACGAUUCUCACUAAUCCAUUUCUAUAUUGCUAUUAUCGUUUUAAAAUGUUAGUAAUUUUACAGUCGUCGUGUCACUCAUGUGUAAUUCGUAUUUCGUGCUGUACUCGCCUGUAUUGCUGUUGUCCGUAGUGUUUUCGUUUGUAAUUUCGUGUUCAAUUAUUCUGUUUUAAAAUGUCACAAAAACAACAAAGUGAAAUAAACUUUUUUUUUAAAAAGUUAAAAACAAGUGACGAAAAUAAUCCAUCUCCAAGUGAAGGUAUAGAAAAUGUAAGCGUGUUACCAACAGAGUCAGAGCCAGCUACAUUUUCUGAUUCGUGUGAAGUCGAUUCUAACAGUCAAUAUAAUAUCGCAUUUGCUAUUAAAGAAAAUGCAAAUCUAAAAAUUCGAAACGAUCCAAAUAUGCUUUACAAAUAUUUAAAAGAAACGUGGUCACCUAAACAAAAUUAUAUUUUCCCUCAAAUACAAUCGUCCAAAAAUUAAAAGAAAUUGGUUUAAGUUUGGAAUUUUUACGAGGGCAGGGAUAUGAUGGUGGAAAAAAAAUAUGUCUGGUAAAUACCGCGGAGUUCAAGCUAGAAUCUUAAAUUUGCAACCAAAGGCAAUAUACACUCAUUGUGCAUCGCACCGCCUAAAUCUAACUUUAAUAAAAGCAUGUAGAGACAUGAUAUCAAAAGAAAAGUAUCGAUACUUUCACUUGGUAACGAAUGGAAUGAAAAUAACGAAACAUAACGACCGGUAUGAGUAUCGAAAAAAAAAUAUUGAUCCUUUUACUUAGUCCUAUCAUCGUAACAAAUAUAAUUAAAAUAUUGAUAACAAUAAAAUAUGAAAACGACCUAUAUGAAUAA